UAAGGAGGGUGCAAGCGUUAAUCGGAAUUACUGGGCGUAAAGCGAACGCAGGUGGCUGAGUCAGUCGAUUGUGAAAGCCCUGGGCUUAACCUGGGAAUUGCAGUCGAUACUACUCAGAUAGAGUAUGGGAGAGGGCAGUGGAAUUCCCGGUGUAGCGGUGAAAUGCGUAGAUAUCGGGAGGAACAUCAGUGGCGAAGGCGGCUGCCUGGCCCAAUACUGACACUCAGGUGCGACAGCGUGGGGAGGAAACAGG
rnacentral:rRNA from 1 species